rnacentral:lncRNA from 1 species
UUCGUCUGUGUUGAAGGGUCGAAGUGGGCCAGAACAGGGGAAGAUGUGAGCAGUGUGACGAGCUUGGAGAAAGCUGCUGCUUGCGAGGGACCCCAGUUAAAGGGCGUGUCUUGUUUGAGCAGGUCCU